GACGAACGCUGGCGGCGUGCUUAACACAUGCAAGUCGAACGCUGAAGGCCUGGCUUUUGUUGGGUUGGAUGAGUGGCGAACGGGUGAGUAACACGUGAGUAACCUGCCCUCUUCUUUGGGAUAACGCCCGGAAACGGGUGCUAAUACUGGAUAUUCACUGAUCUUCGCAUGGGGGUUGGUGGAAAGGUUUGUUCUGGUGGGGGAUGGGCUCGCGGCCUAUCAGCUUGUUGGUGGGGUGAUGGCCUACCAAGGCUUUGACGGGUAGCCGGCCUGAGAGGGUGACCGGUCACAUUGGGACUGAGAUACGGCCCAGACUCCUACGGGAGGCAGCAGUGGGGAAUAUUGCACAAUGGGCGAAAGCCUGAUGCAGCGACGCCGCGUGAGGGAUGGAGGCCUUCGGGGUGUAAACCUCUUUCGCUCAUGGUCAAGCCGCAACUGUGGGUUGUGGUGAGGGUAGUGGGUAAAGAAGCGCCGGCUAACUACGUG
rnacentral:rRNA from 1 species